rnacentral:rRNA from 1 species
AUUGAACGCUGGCGGCAUGCCUUACACAUGCAAGUCGAGCGGCAGCGCGGGGGCAACCCUGGCGGCGAGCGGCGGACGGGUGAGUAAUACAUCGGAACGUGUCCUUUCGUGGGGGAUAACCAGUCGAAAGACUGGCUAAUACCGCAUGAGAUCUCACGGAUGAAAGCGGGGGACUCCGAGGGUAACUUCGGGGCCUCGCGCGAUUGGAGCGGCCGAUGUCGGAUUAGCAGUUGGCGGGGUAAAAGCCCACCAAGGCAACGAUCCGUAGCUGGUUUGAGAGAACGACCAGCCACACUGGGACUGAGACACGGCCCAGACUCCCACGGGAGGCAGCAGUGGGGAAUUUGGACAAUGGGGGCAACCCUGAUCCAG